ACACGUGCCAUAUUGAAAGAGUUUUGGAAACACGCACUACUCUACUAAUUUCAGUAGCUCGUAGGACAGUAGGACUCUUCUUGUCUUCGUUUGAAGUUGAAGGGUUCCUUCCUCAUUCUGUAUCUACCAUUUCAUUUCGCUAACACUUUUCUUCUGCCGUUUUCACUUGUACAUUUUUCGCAUUCGUUUCUCUUCUCUCACACUCACACUCCGCUAAGUAAGAGGCAUGACAAUACUACUAGCUGUUCGUGAUUUUCCGGAUGGAUGUGGAGGAUUUCCGAAAUGUGUUGGUACAAUUGUUGAGCUUGAGGAUACGAAUAAGAAUGCUCAACAUUUAGCAAGAAGGUAUCUUCCUCCAAGAAAAGCUUCAGCUGUCAGAGACUUCCUUCCUUUAUUUGGAGGAUGCAAUGACAAUGGGAAGAAAGUGGGUCUACAAAACCCCUCUGUAGAUGACAAUCCAUUGAAAAAUGUAGCAGCAGCAGCUGAUGAUGUGAAAGAAGUUAAGAGUAACAUUCAAGAUGACUAUGGUCGCAAGAGAAAGCUUGUGGACAUCUAUCAAACUGAUUCUGAAAAGAAUGUUGCUGAGAGAGUGAAGAAGCUGCAUGCAUUUGAAGAACCAUCUUCUUCUCAGAUGAAAAUAGUGCUAGGUUUGAUGGCUAAAUCAGCAUGUCCUUGGAGUUCUGGCAAAGGUUCUUCCAACUUGAAGUUGGGAGAUGCUAAAAAUGGAGACGAGAGUAAGAAAGUGUUUUCUUUUGCUUUGCCUGACAGGUCUAGAAGAGCUAUCAAGACUAAAGGUCUUUUAGGGCAGAAGCCUUUGAAAAAGAAGGGAAACGCUUCUGCUUCUCAAGGUACGGGUGAACUAGAAAUUUGGGAAAAGGAGGAUCGUCUUGACCCCGGUGAAAUUAGUGAAGACCUUCAGAUUUUUCUGAAAUCACACAAGUUCGGUGUAAAUGUUACUCCCUCUUCUCAUUCUAAUUUCAUUGGUAAUGAGAAUGACCGGAAAAAAGUGAGGGAAACAUUACAGUUGUUUCAAGUUGUUUCUAGGAAACUUUUAGAGGAAGGAGAAUCAAAGUCAAAUGAGCUAGGAAAAAGAAAGAGGGUUGAUUUAAUUGCUGCAAGGAUUCUUAAGGACAAUGGGAAUCAUGUUAACUCAGGCAAGAAGAUACUGGGCCCUGUCCCCGGGGUUGAAGUAGGUGAUGAAUUUCAAUAUAGGGUGGAGCUUAAUAUAAUUGGUCUUCAUCGUCAGAUUCAGGGUGGCAUAGACUAUGUGAAGCACAAUGGUAAGAUCCUUGCGACUAGCAUUGUUGCUUCAGGUGGCUAUGCUGAUUAUUUGGUCAAUUCAGAUAUAUUGGUAUAUACAGGGCAGGGUGGGAAUGUGAUGAGCAAUGACAGAAAACCUGAAGAUCAGAAGCUUGAGCGGGGCAAUCUUGCUUUGAAGAACAGUAGUGAGGAAAAGAAUCCUGUUAGGGUGAUUCGCGGCUCGGAAGCAAUGGAUGACAAAUACAAGACAUAUGUUUAUGAUGGAUUGUAUGUGGUUGAGACAUAUUGGCAGGACAGGGGAUCUCAUGGGAAGCUGGUUUAUAGGUUUCGCCUUCAAAGAAUUCCUGGUCAAAAGCUUGCUUUGAAGGAAGUGAAGAAAUCUAAAUAUUUCAAAACAAAUUUCCAUAUGUGCUGUGAACACCAUAGAUGAUGAAAAACCCCAUUUUGUUUUAGUACAUAACUAGCUGGCAUGUUGAUAUACCCGUUUUUGCCAUCUCUUUCCUACAGAUGGAUGUGGUGAUUGUAAUUGUACUAAUGGAUGCUUAGACUUGGAGAAAUGUUCAUGCUUUUCCUCACAAAACCUCUUGGUGGUUGCUGUGCUACCCUAUGAUUUUUUUUUUAUUUUUUUUUUGUAUACCUGAGAAUGAUACUUGCACACAUCUCUGACUGAUCUGAUGAGUGAUGAGCGUGUUCAGGCAUGCUUAUAAUAAAGCUUUUUUUUUCAGUAGAAAUACAUGUCUUUCACUACCCGAGUCACUACAGGCCACAAAAGUUUGACAAAGUUGCAUAGUAUUUCAUGACGAGAUCUAUGGUGGUCAAGUUGUCUACAUGGACCACCGUGGUAAAAAAAAAUAUUGACCAUUAGAUUUUGUUGGUAAAAAAUGAAGGGUUAGGAUUUGUUACCUGUAACCUGUUUUGACCAAAUUAUUGAAUUUUGAAUAAUUUAAUAUGAUACACGGCAAUGACGGAUUUGUCCUUACUGGUGAAACUAAUGGCUUUGUAUCCUAUUAGAUCUGAAACUAAUUGUAGUCAGGGUUUGUCGUUGUAGAAGACAAGAGUUGUCAUUCAACUUCGAUGAAAAAGAUACCGAACGUAUUUGUAAUGGUUUCUUAUGUUGGGGGUUUUGAAGUCUAGUUAUUCUCAUGACAAUUGAGCGAAUUUGUUUGCUGUAUUGGUGAAAGUUCAUUUGAUUGACGAGGUGAUGUCCAUUAAUCUUUGUUGUCGUGGCAGAGAUGGAGUCUAAUACAUGGUGCAAGCGGUAGAGGAAAGUUUUGAACCGGAGUCAAAGGUGGAAGUUGGAGAAGUCGUUGUUGUGCGUGGAAGUAGUGGAGGCCUGGUGGAAGUAUGAAAAUGAGUGAUCGGUCUGGCGGCAUGACGAUUAAGAGAAAACAAUCCAAAAUCCCUGUAUUUGUCACGACACCCUACUCGGAAGUCUUUGGUCUGCAAGUUGUUGGGUUUUGGAAGAGGUGUGGUGUUCUUUGACAACUGCUUAAGAUUGGUGGUGGCGACGCUGACACAGGUGGAGCGUGUGGUGGUGAUUCUAGACUGCGAGAUUGCUUUUAUGGCGCCAAUAGUGAAGGCGUGGUAACAGACAAAGACCAACUCAUGCACCGAAUCGAAACAGGGCAAGCAAAAAAUAACCGCUAAAAUUAUUGUUUAUUAAAUCGACCUUCAGCUACAACCAUAUAUCACAUUUACUGUCAGGAAUUGCCUUGGGUAGACAUGAUAAUGAAACCCGCAUAUCCUUGAAUAUCCGUUUAAAUCUGUCUCAAUUUUAAUGGAGAAUAUCCGAAUUAGUUGAAUACA